rnacentral:rRNA from 1 species
UACGUAGGGUGCGAGCGUUGUCCGGAAUUAUUGGGCGUAAAGGGCUCGUAGGCGGUUUGUCGCGUCGGGCGUGAAAACCUUGGGCUUAACUCAGGGCUUGCUUUCGAUACGGGCAGACUAGAGGUAUGCAGGGGAGAACGGAAUUCCUGGUGUAGCGGUGAAAUGCGCAGAUAUCAGGAGGAACACCGGUGGCGAAGGCGGUUCUCUGGGCAGUUCCUGACGCUGAGGCACGAAGGUCAGGGGAGCAAACGGG